ensembl:lncRNA
AUUAAAACUAGAUAACUUAGACAUAAGGAUUCUAUGAUUAACAGUGUCAAAUGCUUUCUUCAGCUCAAGGAACAUAGCUCCAACUACACCACCUUUAUCUAAAAGAGGUUUAGGUAUAAUGUUUAAUUUUCUAUUUAAAAAAAAAAAAAAAAAACGUGGCCACAGCUUGUCACAGAUACAUUGUGACAGGAAAUCGAGGAAGACAUGCUGAAUGCCAACACUCAAUCAAAAUAAGAUUAUAGUUACUCUUUAUAGGCACAAUAAACCGCUUUAACAGAUUUAAAUCAGUUCAUUGUGCUUAUAAAAAGUAUCAGGACCAACUCCAAUCUCUAGACAUAAGAGCAUCUCUCCAUUAAGUAUUCUCUGCUGUUGACUUGGGGAAAUAAAACCACAUAUACUGCACAUUUAAGCAAAAAACCAAGCAAUGUUGACUACAAUAGAGAAGUAGUGGUGUAACUCACUUCCUGUGCCUCUACUGCUGCCUAUGUUUGCUUCUUGCUCAUGUCAUUCUCUGUUAAGACUGUUGUUCUCACAGAUAUGGAUUUUUUGAUGACAGAGCUAGCUUAUAAACUUUUUAUCUUUUUAUAUAUGAUACAACAAGGAACAUAUGGAAUGCUUAUACAUUACAAUGCUUCUGCAACUGCUGUGGAGGGACAGAACGUCAGCCUGCAGUGCAUUGUGGAAGAGGAUCAAAACGUCACAAUUAUGCUGCUGGAAUGGAUUAAACAGCAAAAAGAAAAUGAGAAGAAUGAUCAGAAGAUUGUUGUGUUCCAUCCUAUGUUGCCAACAUAUUAUUUUCGAUCCGGUUCUCUUCUGGAGACAGUGACCAGUUCAAAAACUGGAAAGCUGCAGGGCUCUAUACUGACUCUGCAUGAAGUUACAGUGAAUGACAGUGGAGACUAUAUUUGCGAAAUUACUUCUUAUCCCAAUGGCUCGAUUAAAAGAAUCACAAAGCUGCAAGUGACAGAGCCUCCAGCAUCAGUGAAGAUGCCAUAUCCAUAUGGAUUCAUAAAAGAGGGAGAUGAAUUGAAAAUAACUUGUUCAGCGAUCCCUCCACCACUCCAUUAUAAACUUGGAAGGUCAAAGGACAAGACAUUUUGGCUGGAAAGCUCAAACGGAGAGUUCAUUUUACCAAACGUCACCAGAAAGGACAGCGAUGUGUACAUCUGUUUACCUGAAUGGGACUCGUUAGUCCGAAAUCAGCAAGGUCUCAAUGCCACCGUCGAACUGACUGUGAAUUUUCUUGAUGGCAUUGAGUGUAACACAAGCAGCCCUUUAAACAUCAGGGCUGGUGAGGAUGUGGUGAUUUCUUGUAUCGCAAAAGCUUCACAGCACUUGCAGUAUAAGUGGAUGAGGGGUGACACAACACUGUCUCUUUUAGACACUUUGUCUCUGACCUCCGUAACAUCUGACCAGUCAGGAACAUACAAACUGACAGCUGUCUUUCUGGACAAUCAACUCCAGACAGACAUGGAGAUUUCUAUCCAUGUUCUCUCAAAGCAAAGCAAAGCCUCAAAAAGCUCAGCGUAUAUCGCUGUCCCGAUUGUGUUGCUGUUGCUCGGGUCGAUUGUGCUUUAAUACAGAAGACACCAGAACCAAAAAAAAAUGGAUAUGCCACCUCCAUUGAAACACUUCAGUGAGGAACCAUGAUGUCCCUAUGACGGAUAUUCUAGAAUCUAGUGUAUCAAGCACUUGAGAACCCACAAACCGUGGGCCACAAACAUGCUGACAGGAAGAUUUCUCCCUAAAGGCCAUGGAUUACUCAUCCUCACGAAGUUUCGUUCAUUUUCAAAACACAAAUUGAUAUAUUUUUAAUAAAACCUGAGAAUUUUCCUUCCUGCCUUUGAAAGUCCACGCAACCAAUACUUUGAUGCUUCAAAAAGUUCAUGAAGGUCAUAUGAAUCACCCAGUUUAAUUAAAUUUUAAUGUAAGCUUUUGUUCACAUAUAAACAUUGAUUAGUAGGCCUACAUAAAUGACAUCAAAUAUUUUGUAAAAUAUGUUUGUCAUUUUUAUUUUUCUGUGAAUUAACUUUUUACCGUUUUAUUUUGUUAUAUUUUUGGUUAUUAUAAAAUAAUUUUUUUAUGUGAUUUUGAAAGUCCUUUUUACCUCUGGUCUCUGUAUGAAUGAAUAGCUUGUACAUUAUUUUUUUGGGUAAUUUUGCUUAGCACACCACCUACUCCUACAUCAUAACUAUGUAAAAAAUUUUCCCUGAAAUGUGUGAAUUUACAAAAAGCAAAAGUGUGUGAGGGUGGGAGGAGGUGGGGUCAAAAUCCGGGUAAAUUCCAGAAAUAUGAAAUAUGUCUAUAAGGUAACUUUAGAGUUUCAUUAUUAUUAUUAUUAUUAUUAUUAUUAUUAUUAUUAUUAUCAUAAAUAAUAAUUGUUCAAUAGAUGAGACACUUAUUGCAAUGUUGGAUUUUAAUUCCAAUAUAAUACAACUACAAAGAAAAUAAGUGAGCACUUUUAGUAUCAGAUAGUUUUGCAAUAAAGCCUGCAACACUGACCUCCUGUUGUGGCUGCAUGUUCUGGUAACAAAGCGAAGGCUAUCAGCUGAUUGUUUCAGGCCCCAUAAAACCUCAGUUUACACCUCAGAUACUGGAGACAAACCAACUGCUAAAACCACAUCAGACAGUGACCAACAGAGACAGUAUGUAUCCAUAAGCUUACAGGUCUACUCUGCAAAUACAAACCCUAGCUCUGGUUACCAUUUAUUAUAACUUAUUAUAACUUGCAAUAACAGCACAGCUGGGGGUUGUUUAUUUGAUGCUUAAAGGAACUUAGGCUGAAUUUCUGGUUUUGUUCGGGCUGCUUAUACAACAUUCGGCAUUUUAAAACAUGGUACAUGAGAAUAAACUGUGGGAGAAAAUGGAUAUGGAAAGGCAUUUCUGAUUAAUGAACAGCGACAUACAGUAACGCCUGAUAUAAAGUGUGUGUGAGUGUGUGUGUGUUAGGACAGAGAGAAAACAAGAGAAAGAGAGAUGCUUUUUGUACAGAGUUUUGUGCAUUGUGGUUCUUUGCUACAACAGCGACACGUUUAUGCAGAGGGACGUUUCCUGCUCUCGCUAUUGUGGCCGGAAAUGGAAAAUUCAGAAAAAAGGAUUGAUUGUUUCAGUUUUUAAAUCAUCUGUAUCCUGCACUGUAUGAUCAUGUCUCUAAUGUACUAUUGUACUUCAGGAUGUAUACAGGUAAUUUACCGAUAAUGUAUGAGAAAAAUCAUCAAUUGUGUAAAAUUCUAUUCUAUAUCUUUGCAUCACAGAAUAAAGUACAGUAUGUAUUUGAAGUUUAGUUAUACAAAAAAACAGAAAGUAGAAAACAGAAUAGUGCAGUUGUUCUUUUGAAAAAAAGUAUCAGAUGAAUACUGUAUAUUAUGAAUAUUAUAAUAAAUUGUAAUUAUAAGAACAUUUGUGUUCAUGAUAAGCUUGUCUUUGAAAUUUGAGCAAUAUUUUAGUUGUAUAUUAUAUGUAUAAAUUCAAAUGAUAUGUUGUUUCACAUUGAUAUCACAAUAAAAUUGCUGUUCAA